AACGAACGCUGGCGGCAGGCUUAACACACGCAAGUCGAGCGCCCCGCAAGGGGAGCGGCAGACGGGUGAGUAACGCGUGGGAACGUACCCUUUGCUACGGAAUAGCUCCGGGAAACUGGAAUUAAUACCGUAUGUGCCCUACGGGGGAAAGAUUUAUCGGCAAAGGAUCGGCCCGCGUUGGAUUAGCUAGUUGGUGGGGUAAUGGCCUACCAAGGCGACGAUCCAUAGCUGGUCUGAGAGGAUGAUCAGCCACAUUGGGACUGAGACACGGCCCAAACUCCUACGGGAGGCAGCAGUGGGGAAUAUUGGACAAUGGGCGCAAGCCUGAUCCAGCCAUGCCGCGUGAGUGAUGAAGGCCUUAGGGUUGUAAAGCUCUUUCACCGGAGAAGAUAAUGACGGUAUCCGGAGAAGAAGCCCCGGCUAACUUCGUGCCAGCCGCCGCGGUAAUAC
rnacentral:rRNA from 1 species